UACGUAGGGGGCUAGCGUUGUCCGGAAUCACUGGGCGUAAAGCGCACGUAGGCGGAUCGUUAAGUCAGGGGUGAAAUCCUGGAGCUCAACUCCAGAACUGCCUUUGAUACUGGCGACCUUGAGUUCGGGAGAGGUGAGUGGAACUGCGAGUGUAGAGGUGAAAUUCGUAGAUAUUCGCAAGAACACCAGUGGCGAAGGCGGCUCACUGGCCCGAUACUGACGCUGAGGUGCGAAAGCGUGGGGAGCAAACAGG
rnacentral:rRNA from 1 species